UACGGAGGAUCCGAGCGUUAUCCGGAUUUAUUGGGUUUAAAGGGAGCGUAGGUGGAUUGUUAAGUCAGUUGUGAAAGUUUGCGGCUCAACCGUAAAAUUGCAGUUGAAACUGGCAGUCUUGAGUACAGUAGAGGUGGGCGGAAUUCGUGGUGUAGCGGUGAAAUGCUUAGAUAUAACUUAGAACCCCGAUAGCGAAGGCAGCAUACCGGCGCCCUACUGACGCUGAGGCACGAAAGCGUGGGUAUCGAACAGG
rnacentral:rRNA from 1 species